CGCAGCCGUGUGAGAUUCAGUGCCCGCCCAAUCAUGGCAGGUACUGGCCCAGGAGGCUGCCAUAGACCAGUGUUUCCCAACCUUCUCUCAUGAUGAGAAUCACCUGGUGGAGUUGUUAAAACACAGAUUCCC